GACGAACGCUGGCGGCGUGCUUAACACAUGCAAGUCGAACGGAAAGGCCCUGCUUUUGUGGGGUGCUCGAGUGGCGAACGGGUGAGUAACACGUGAGUAACCUGCCCUUGACUUUGGGAUAACUUCAGGAAACUGGGGCUAAUACCGGAUAGGAGCUCCUGCUGCAUGGUGGGGGUUGGAAAGUUUCGGCGGUUGGGGAUGGACUCGCGGCUUAUCAGCUUGUUGGUGGGGUAGUGGCUUACCAAGGCUUUGACGGGUAGCCGGCCUGAGAGGGUGACCGGCCACAUUGGGACUGCGAUACGGCCCAGACUCCUACGGGAGGCAGCAGUGGGGAAUAUUGCACAAUGGGCGGAAGCCUGAUGCAGCAACGCCGCGUGCGGGAUGAAGGCCUUCGGGUUGUAAAACGCUUUCGCCUGUGACGAAGCGUGAGUGACGGUAAUGGGUAAAGAAGCACCGGCUAACUACGUG
rnacentral:rRNA from 1 species